CCGGCUCCGGUUCACCCUGCGACGGCGCGGGGACCCGGCGGCC
rnacentral:ncRNA from 1 species